GUGCACGCUGGCGGUCGGCCUAACACAUGCAAGUCGCACGGCAGCACAGUAAGAGCUUGCUCUUACGGGUGGCGAGUGGCGGACGGGUGCGGAAUACAUCGGAAUCUACUUUUUCGUGGGGGAUAACGUAGGGAAACUUACGCUAAUACCGCAUACGACCUACGGGUGAAAGCAGGGGAUCUUCGUACCUUGCGCGAUUGAAUGAGCCGAUGUCGGAUUAGCUAGUUGGCGGGGUAAAGGCCCACCAAGGCGACGAUCCGUAGCUGGUCUGAGAGGAUGAUAGGCCACACUGGAGCUGAAACACGGUCAAGGGUCCUACGGGAGGCAGCAGUGGGGAAUAUUGGACAAUGGGCGCAAGCCUGAUACAGCCAUACCGCGUGGGUGAAGAAGGCGUUCGGGUUGUAAAGCCCUUUUGUUGGGAAAGAAAAGCAGCAGGUUAAUACCCCGCGGUUCUGACGGUACCCAAAGAAUAAGCACCGGCUAACUUCGUG
rnacentral:rRNA from 1 species